ensembl:misc_RNA 7SK 7SK RNA
UGAUGUCAGGAUUGAUUUGGCUGAUCUAGUUGGCUAUGCAGGUGUCCCUUUCCUCCCUUACCACUCCAUGUGUGUCCCUCCUGAAGCUGUGCACUCCAUCAAAGAGGGCACCUUCCUCAAUCGAGGAGGACCGGUUUUCAGUCAAAGGCAUGUGAGUAGCUAUGCUUCCCUGCUAAAACCUCCAAAGAAGUUCUCAAAGAUGACUCCCAACAAGUCCCCCUCUCCCAUAUACACGUCACCUUUCACAUCAGUAUGGGAGAUUUACAUAUCCUUACAUUG